UGGGGAAUCUUGGACAAUGGGGGCAACCCUGAUCCAGCGAUGCCGCGUGGGUGAAGAAGGCCUUAGGGUUGUAAAGCCCUUUCAGUCGUGACGAUGAUGACGGUAGCGACAGAAGAAGCCCCGGCUAACUUCGUGCCAGCAGCCGCGGUAAUACGAAGGGGGCUAGCGUUGUUCGGAAUUACUGGGCGUAAAGCGCGCGUAGGCGGAUUGAUCAGUCAGGGGUGAAAUCCCGGGGCUCAACCCCGGAACUGCCUUUGAUACUGUCAAUCUAGAGAUCGAGAGAGGUGAGUGGAAUUCCGAGUGUAGAGGUGAAAUUCGUAGAUAUUCGGAGGAACACCAGUGGCGAAGGCGGCUCACUGGCUCGAUACUGACGCUGAGGUGCGAAAGCGUGGGGAGCAAACAGGAUUAGAUACCCCCGUAGUCC
rnacentral:rRNA from 1 species